ensembl:miRNA gmo-mir-202 gmo-mir-202
UUCCUAUGCAUAUACCUCUUUGAGACUUAACUUUAAAGAGGAAUAGGGCAUGGGAAAAU